rnacentral:lncRNA from 1 species
GGCGGGUGGGUGCGGGCGGCCGCGCCGCUCUGCUCGGUUCGCCCAUUAGGAAGCAGUCGUAGUUUAUGCGUCGCAUCUGCAUUUCAGACCGAUUAUUGUACCUAAUGACGGUUGGUUGCUAAUAUUUCCUCAAUCUCUCUCUUAGUCAAGCGCUUCUUCUUCUGUAUUUUCGUGUGUAGCGACGUGUAAUGCGCUAGGCAUUAUCGGCUUUGUUUCAGAGUAUCUCCUGUACUGCGUUCAAUUUCCUUACGUUCCUUUUUUUAAGCUUUGCUACUGUUCUCACUUUAUGCCGUGCAAUAUCAUCUGCUGUGUUUGCUAAGCAAAAAAAAAAAAAAAAAAAAAAAAAAAAAAAA